CGUGAGACAGUUCGGUCCCUAUCUGUCGUGGGCGUAGGAUAUUUGAGGAGCGCUGUUCCUAGUACGAGAGGACCGGAAUGGACGCACCGCUGGUGUAUCGGUUGUCAUGCCAAUGGCACGGCCGAGCAGCUAAGUGCGGUUGAGAUAAACGCUGAGAGCAUCUAAGCGUGAAGCCAUCUCCAAGAUAAGAUAUCCCACUUUUAAAGUUAAGUUCCCUUAAGGACUAUGAGGUUGAUAGGUCGCAAGUAUAAGUGCGGUGACGCAUUCAGCUAGGCGAUACUAAUAGAACGAGGGCUUGACCAA
rnacentral:rRNA from 1 species